rnacentral:rRNA from 1 species
AUUGAACGCUGGCGGCAGGCCUAACACAUGCAAGUCGAACGGUAACAGGAAACAGCUUGCUGUUUCGCUGACGAGUGGCGGACGGGUGAGUAAUGUCUGGGAAACUGCCUGAUGGAGGGGGAUAACUACUGGAAACGGUAGCUAAUACCGCAUAACGUCGCAAGACCAAAGAGGGGGACCUUCGGGCCUCUUGCCAUCGGAUGUGCCCAGAUGGGAUUAGCUUGUUGGUGGGGUAACGGCUCACCAAGGCGACGAUCCCUAGCUGGUCUGAGAGGAUGACCAGCCACACUGGAACUGAGACACGGUCCAGACGCCUACGGGAGGCAGCAGUGGGGAAUAUUGCACAAUGGGCGCAAGCCUGAUGCAGCCAUGCCGCGUGUAUGGAGAAGGCCUUCGGGUUGUAAAGUACUUUCAGCGGGGAGGAAGGGAGUAAAGUUAAUACCUUUACUCAUUGACGUUACCCGCAGAAGAAGCACCGGCUAACUCCGUGCCAGCCGCCGCGGUAA